rnacentral:lncRNA from 1 species
AUCUGUGCGGCGCCCCGCGACUGUAGUCGGGGAGCCGUGGUGGGGCUCCCUGGUGGGCUAGCGCAAGAGAGGCGGCCUUGCUAAACACUGUUAGGGGGCGGAGGACGGCGGGCUGCAGCUGGCGUCUCGGUGGCGAGCCGAGGCUCCACUGUCAGCCUCUGCGCUGCUCAGGGGCGGGUAUUCCUGGGCCGAACGAGCGCGGAAACUCUUGGCAAGUGGGGGGCCGGGCCGGGCGUCCUCCCAGCGACGGGGGCGGUGGCACGGGGCCUAGGGGUCCUGAUCGUCCUGACGGGGCUGCGGUUUUGUUGGCUGACCUCGGCCCUUCAGCGCGACGGGCUUUUGGUGCUUCUCCCCCUGGACCCAGCUCGUGCCCGUUGCGCGUUCUCGGUGCGUGGGGGUGAUGCAGCGUGUCCCAGCCACCAGACCCAUGGGAGCUUUUUAAGGCGACCAGCGGCCUCUGUCCCUUCUCAGAUGUUAACUGCGUCUCAGCACCCCUGGCCAUAGGUUUGGAUCUCCUGGGGCUUUCAGAGAGGAAGGUCAGCACGGCGGAGGCCAGUCCCAAGUCUCCAAGCAUCAGGGCUCCUGCCCGAUUCUCAAGGCGGGUGGGGGACACUGGACCUCCAGACAGGUGAGCGCUUGACAGUUCGGGUUUGGUUUGUUUCUCUUGAGGAUGCCGUCUGAUGUGUCAGGGUUUGUGUUUCUGUUUAAAUGUGCUUGAGUGGACUGGGCAGUGAGAAAUCGUCCUUUCUGCCUCCUUUGGGUUCAGAACCAAUAAGAAAAGCAGAGAUGCCAGGAAGGCUCUUAAGGAGCUAGUGGGCUUGGGGACAGAGCAAGAUUGGCUGCUUAUAGAAUGUCUCCUGGCUAUAUAUUCCACUGUGGCCUGUUGCUUCUGAUGCAACAAGUAUCUGAAUGUCAUUAUCCCACCCAAGGUCAGCCCUAGGCAGGGUGGUGAACCCCAAGCUACAGUGUACCUAGAGUUCCCCAGAGAUUAGUAGCCAUGAUACCCCUGAACCUUAAUGAUGUCCCCCAGCAGAUGUCUUGGUGCAGGGUAGAUCUGGUUUCCUGGCCUCUGUGUCUUCAGUUGACAUUCUUGUUUGAUUCUACUAGCAUCUAGGACAUCCACCUGCCUAGUAGGGGCCUCUGAUGAACCAGUUUUGUUAGACAUUUUUCAAUUCAACAGUAUCUCCGACACCACCAGAGGUAUAGGGAGAUAUACUCGAGUCCUGAAUCCUCUCUAUGUCAUGUAGUUUUAUUCAUUUGAAUAAAGGCAAUCUGCUAACUUUUAUACUAUAACAUGACUUAAUUUUUUUUUAAAGAUUCAUUUAUUUAUUAUAUGUAAGUACACUGUAGCUGUCUUCAGACAAUCCAGAAGAGGGAGUCAGAUCUUGUUAUGGAUGGUUGUGAGCCACCAUGUGGUUGCUGGGAUUUGAACUCUGAACCUUCGGAAGAGCAGUCGGGUGCUCUUACCCACUGAGCCAUCUCACCAGCCCAUGACUUAAUUUUUGUGGCUGAUUGGAGAUUCCCAAUAAAAUAUUCAUAUAAUAAGGGGCAGCAUCCCCCUACAUUGUCCUGAUAAUUCUGACCUAUUAAAUGUCCUGGCAUGGUGUCCCACAAAUGCUUUUUUUACCCCCAAAGAUUUAUUUAUUAAUUAUAUGUAAGUACACUGUAGCUGUCUUCAGACACACCAGAAGAGGGAGUCAGAUCUCGUUAUGGAUGGUUGUGAGCCACCAUGUGGUUGCUGAGAUUUGAACUCAGGACCUUCGGAAGAGCAGUCGGUGCUCUUAACCACUAAGCCAUCUCACCAGCACCCCCACAGAUUCUUUUAAUCCCAACACUUGAAAGGAAUUUGGUCUGUAUAGUGAGAUCCAGGCUAAUGAAGGCCACAUU